UACGGAGGGUGCAAGCAUUAAUCGGAUUUAUUGGGCGUAAAGGGCGUCUAGGCGACUUGUUAAGUCACAUGUGAAAUUUCACAGCUCAACUGUGAAACUGCAUGUGAAACUGGUAAGAUAGAGUGUAGGUGGAGGAAAUGGAAUUCCACAUGUAGCGGUGGAAUGCGUAGAUAUGUGGAGGAACACCGGUGGCGAAAGCGGUUUUCUAACCUAAAACUGACGCUGAAGCGCGAAAGCGAGGGGAGCAAACAGG
rnacentral:rRNA from 1 species